AAUAUUGGACAAUGGGGGCAACCCUGAUCCAGCCAUGCCGCGUGUGUGAAGAAGGUCUUCGGAUUGUAAAGCACUUUAAGUUGGGAGGAAGGGCUUUAGGCUAAUACCUUGCAAUUUUGACGUUACCAACAGAAUAAGCACCGGCUAACUUCGUGCCAGCAGCCGCGGUAAUACGAAGGGUGCAAGCGUUAAUCGGAAUUACUGGGCGUAAAGCGCGCGUAGGUGGUUCAGUAAGAUGGGUGUGAAAUCCCCGGGCUUAACCUGGGAACUGCUUUCCUAACUGCUGAGCUAGAGUAAGGUAGAGGGUAGUGGAAUUUCCUGUGUAGCGGUGAAAUGCGUAGAUAUAGGAAGGAACACCAGUGGCGAAGGCGACUCUCUGGUCUGCAACUGACGCUGAGGCGCGAAAGCGUGGGGAUCAAACA
rnacentral:rRNA from 1 species